UCCCGCGUAGCUCAAUCGGCAGAGCGGUCGGCUGUUAACCGACAGGUUACUGGUUCGAGUCCAGUCGCGGGAGCCA
rnacentral:tRNA from 2 species